GAUGAAGAACGUAGCGAAAUGGGAUAAGUAGUGUGAAUUGCAGAAUUCAGUGAAUCAUCGAAUCUUUGAACGCACAUUGCGCCCCUUGGUAUUCCAUGGGGCAUGCCUGUUCGAGCGUCAUUUGUACCUUCAAGCUUUGCUUGGUGUUGGGUGUUUGUCUCGCCUUUGCGUGUAGACUCGCCUUAAAAUAAUUGGCAGCCGGCGUAUUGAUUUCGGAGCGCAGUACAUCUCGCGCUUUGCACUCAUAACGACAGCGUCCAAAAGUACAUUUUACACUCUUGACCUCGGAUCAGGAAGGGAUACCCGCUGAACUUAAGCAUAUCAAUAAGCGGAGGA
rnacentral:misc_RNA from 1 species